GACGAACGCUGGCGGCGUGCUUAACACAUGCAAGUCGAACGGAAAGGCCCUGCUUUUGUGGGGUGCUCGAGUGGCGAACGGGUGAGUAACACGUGAGUAACCUGCCCUUGACUUUGGGAUAACUUCAGGAAACUGUGGCUAAUACCGGAUAGGAGCUCCUGCUGCAUGGUGGGGGUUGGAAAGUUUCGGCGGUUGGGGAUGGACUCGCGGCUUAUCAGCUUGUUGGUGGGGUAGUGGCUUACCAAGGCUUUGACGGGUAGCCGGCCUGAGAGGGUGACCGGCCACAUUGGUACUGAGAUACGGCCCAGACUCCUACGGGAGGCAGCAGUGGGGAAUAUUGCACAAUGGGCGGAAGCCUGAUGCAGCAACGCCGCGUGCGGGAUGACGGCCUUCGGGUUGUAAACCGCUUUCGCCUGUGACGAAGCGUGAGUGACGGUAAUGGGUAAAGAAGCACCGGCUAACUACGUG
rnacentral:rRNA from 1 species